GAGUUUGAUCUUGGCUCAGAGCGAACGCUGGCGGCGUGCUUAACACAUGCAAGUCGUGCGGGAAAGGGACUUUCGGGUCCUGAGUAGAGCGGCGCACGGGUGCGUAAGACGCGGGUGACCUAUCCUGGAGGCGGGGAUAACCCUUCGAAAGAGGGGCUAAUACCGGAUGGGCCCACGGGCAGAGAUGCCCGGGGGGCAAAGGGUGCUACUUAGUGGUGGCAUCCCCUGUGGCGGGGCCCGCGGCCUAUCAGCUCGUUGGUGGGGUAAUGGCCCACCAAGGCGAAGACGGGUAGCUGGUCUGAGAGGAUGGCCAGCCACACGGGGACUGAGACACGGCCCCGACUCCUACGGGAGGCAGCAGUGGGGAAUAUUGGGCAAUGGGCGCAAGCCUGACCCAGCGACGCCGCGUGGGGGAUGAAGG
rnacentral:rRNA from 1 species